CUUUAUUUUAAAUUUUUUUUAUUUAAGUAGUAGUGAUUAGUAUAUAUAUAUAUAUUAAUAUUAUUUGAAACUUAAAAAGCUUGGCGUACUAUAUAUCCAUUCAGGGRAGCUUGUUUAUUAAUUUGAUAAUCCUCAAUUAAUUCUUACUUUUUUUUGAAAUUAACAGUUUGUAUAUUGCUGUCAUCAGUUUAUUUCGUGAGAAUUUUAAAAAACUUGGAAGUAAUUUUACUAAUAUGUCAAGUCAAAAUGCAGCUAAUAGAAAAGGUUAAAAAUAAAAAUGAGCUACAAUUUAUAAUUUUUAAUUGGAUAAAAUAAUGUAAUGUAUUUUUGAAAUUGGACUUGAUAGUAAUAUAUUUAAAAUUAAAUAUGUUUAUGUGAAUUAGGUUUUAUAGUGUGU
rnacentral:rRNA from 1 species